rnacentral:rRNA from 1 species
GACAGAGGGGGCAAGCGUUGCUCGGAAUUACUGGGCGUAAAGGGCGCGUAGGCGGGCUGGCAAGUCGGUCGUGAAAUCCCUCGGCUCAACUGAGGAGCGUCGAUCGAAACUGCCGUUCUUGAGGGUUGCAGAGGAGACUGGAAUUCCCGGUGUAGCGGUGAAAUGUGUAGAGAUCGGGAGGAACACCGGUGGCGAAGGCGGGUCUCUGGGCAACUCCUGACGCUGAGGCGCGAAAGCUAGGGGAGCAAACGGG